GCUGAAGAACGCAGCGAAAUGCGAUAAGUAAUGUGAAUUGCAGAAUUCAGUGAAUCAUCGAAUCUUUGAACGCAUCUUGCGCUCCUUGGUAUUCUGAGGAGCAUGCCUGUUUGAGUGUCAUUAAAUUCUCAACUACACUGACUUUGAAUUGGUGUGGCUUGGAUUUGGGGGGAAAAUUGUUGUGGGCUUUUUGUAUAGUCUGCUCCCCUGAAAUUGAUUAGCGGUACCUUUGUGGAACUGUCUACAGGUGUGAUAAUUAUCUACAUCUUAGACAUCUGCUGGAAUGCUGCUUUCUAAACCUUACUUGUAUUGACAAUCUUGACCUCAAAUCAGGUAGGACUACCCGCUGAACUUAAGCAUAUCAAUAAGCGGAGGA
rnacentral:misc_RNA from 1 species